AACCUCCGCAAUGUGAGAAAUCGCGACGGGGGGAUCCCAAGUGCCAUUCUUAACGGGAUGGCUUUUCAUUAGUGUAAAGAGCUUUUGGAAUAAGAGCUGGGCAAGACCGGUGCCAGCCGCCGCGGUAACACCGGCAGCUCUAGUGGUAACAAUUUUUAUUGGGCCUAAAGCGUCCGUAGCCGGUUUAAUAAGUCUCUGGUGAAAUCCUGUAGCUUAACUGUGGGAAUUGCUGGAGAUACUAUUAGACUUGAGACCGGGAGAGGUUAGAGGUACUCCCAGGGUAGAGGUGAAAUUCUGUAAUCCUGGGAGGACCGCCUGUUGCGAAGGUGUCUAACUGGAACGGUUCUGACGGUGAGGGACGAAAGUUAGGGGCGCGAACCGGAUUAGAUACCCGGGUAGUCCUAACUGUAAACGAUGCGGACUUGGUGUUGGGGUGGCUUUGAGCUGCUCCAGUGCCGAAGGGAAGCUGUUAAGUCCGCCGCCUGGGAAGUACGGUCGCAAGACUGAAACUUAAAGGAAUU
rnacentral:rRNA from 1 species